GGAAUGAUUGCAACGUCUAUAUAUCUGAUUGUCAGGUUUCAUCUAUCUUGACCUCAUUAUCAUGGUUCAUUGGUCAAUGCUAUUUUUUUCUGAUUUGGUCUAUUUGCCAGAUGCUAUAAGCAAAGGUCAACUAUAUUUUGUGAAUAAAGGAUUGUAAGAUGUAUAUGUCGGUCUGGCAUGGUUCAUCUGACCUUGACCCCAUUUUCAUGGUUUAUUAGUCAAUGUAAGUUUCAUGAUUAUUUUUGUUUUUCAGAUACUGUAAGUUAUAGGUAAAUUAUAUUUGGUGUAUGCUAUAACUGCAUGUUGUACAUGUUUUAUUCUGGCAGGUACUGUCUGACCUUGACCUCAUUUUCCUGGUUCGUUGGUCAAUGUUCAAUUUUCGUAAUUAGGGCUGUUUCCUAGAUACCA
rnacentral:lncRNA from 1 species